rnacentral:rRNA from 1 species
UACGGGGGGUGCGAGCGUUGUCCGGAAUCACUGGGCGUAAAGGGCGCGUAGGUGGUCUGAUAAGGGUGUGGUGAAAGCCCGGGGCUCAACCCCGGGUCGGCCGUGCCGACUGUUAGACUAGAGUGCUGUAGGGGCAGGCGGAAUUCCGGGUGUAGCGGUGGAAUGCGUAGAGAUCCGGAGGAACACCGGUGGCGAAGGCUGCGACCUGGGUAGAUACUGACGCUGAGGCGCGAAAGCGUGGGGAGCAAACAGG